rnacentral:rRNA from 1 species
ACUAAGCGUACACGGUGGAUGCCCUGGCAGUCAGAGGCGAUGAAGGACGUGCUAAUCUGCGAUAAGCGUCGGUAAGGUGAUAUGAACCGUUAUAACCGGCGAUUUCCGAAUGGGGAAACCCAGUGUGUUUCGACACACUAUCAUUAACUGAAUCCAUAGGUUAAUGAGGCGAACCGGGGGAACUGAAACAUCUAAGUACCCCGAGGAAAAGAAAUCAACCGAGAUUCCCCCAGUAGCGGCGAGCGAACGGGGAGSAGCCCAGAGCCUGAAUCAGUGUGUGUGUUAGUGGAAGCGUCUGGAAAGGCGCGCGAUACAGGGUGACAGCCCCGUACACAAAAAUGCACAUGCUGUGAGCUCGAUGAGUAGGGCGGGACACGUGGUAUCCUGUCUGAAUAUGGGGGGACCAUCCUCCAAGGCUAAAUACUCCUGACUGACCGAUAGUGAACCAGUACCGUGAGGGAAAGGCGAAAAGAACCCCGGYGAGGGGAGUGAAAAAGAACCUGAAACCGUGUACGUACAAGCAGUGGGAGCACGCUUAGGCGUGUGACUGCGUACCUUUUGUAUAAUGGGUCAGCGACUUAUAUUCUGUAGCAAGGUUAACCGAAUAGGGGAGCCGAAGGGAAACCGAGUCUUAACUGGGCGUUAAGUUGCAGGGUAUAGACCCGAAACCCGGUGAUCUAGCCAUGGGCAGGUUGAAGGUUGGGUAACACUAACUGGAGGACCGAACCGACUAAUGUUGAAAAAUUAGCGGAUGACUUGUGGCUGGGGGUGAAAGGCCAAUCAAACCGGGAGAUAGCUGGUUCUCCCCGAAAGCUAUUUAGGUAGCGCCUCGUGAAUUCAUCUCCGGGGGUAGAGCACUGUUUCGGCAAGGGGGUCAUCCCGACUUACCAACCCGAUGCAAACUGCGAAUACCGGAGAAUGUUAUCACGGGAGACACACGGCGGGUGCUAACGUCCGUCGUGAAGAGGGAAACAACCCAGACCGCCAGCUAAGGUCCCAAAGUCAUGGUUAAGUGGGAAACGAUGUGGGAAGGCCCAGACAGCCAGGAUGUUGGCUUAGAAGCAGCCAUCAUUUAAAGAAAGCGUAAUAGCUCACUGGUCGAGUCGGCCUGCGCGGAAGAUGUAACGGGGCUAAACCAUGCACCGAAGCUGCGGCAGCGACGCUGAUGCGUUGUUGGGUAGGGGAGCGUUCUGUAAGCCUGUGAAGGUGUGCUGUGAGGCAUGCUGGAGGUAUCAGAAGUGCGAAUGCUGACAUAAGUAACGAUAAAGCGGGUGAAAAGCCCGCUCGCCGGAAGACCAAGGGUUCCUGUCCAACGUUAAUCGGGGCAGGGUGAGUCGACCCCUAAGGCGAGGCCGAAAGGCGUAGUCGAUGGGAAACAGGUUAAUAUUCCUGUACUUGGURUUACUGCGAAGGGGGGACGGAGAAGGCUAUGUUGGCCGGGCGACGGUUGUCCCGGUUUAAGCGUGUAGGCUGGUUUUCCAGGCAAAUCCGGAAAAUCAAGGCUGAGGCGUGAUGACGAGGCACUACGGUGCUGAAGCAACAAAUGCCCUGCUUCCAGGAAAAGCCUCUAAGCAUCAGGUAACAUCAAAUCGUACCCCAAACCGACACAGGUGGUCAGGUAGAGAAUACCAAGGCGCUUGAGAGAACUCGGGUGAAGGAACUAGGCAAAAUGGUGCCGUAACUUCGGGAGAAGGCACGCUGAUAUGUAGGUGAAGUCCCUCGCGGAUGGAGCUGAAAUCAGUCGAAGAUACCAGCUGGCUGCAACUGUUUAUUAAAAACACAGCACUGUGCAAACACGAAAGUGGACGUAUACGGUGUGACGCCUGCCCGGUGCCGGAAGGUUAAUUGAUGGGGUYAGCGCAAGCGAAGCUCUUGAUCGAAGCCCCGGUAAACGGCGGCCGUAACUAUAACGGUCCUAAGGUAGCGAAAUUCCUUGUCGGGUAAGUUCCGACCUGCACGAAUGGCGUAAUGAUGGCCAGGCUGUCUCCACCCGAGACUCAGUGAAAUUGAACUCGCUGUGAAGAUGCAGUGUACCCGCGGCAAGACGGAAAGACCCCGUGAACCUUUACUAUAGCUUGACACUGAACAUUGAGCCUUGAUGUGUAGGAUAGGUGGGAGGCUUWGAAGUGUGGACGCCAGUCUGCAUGGAGCCGACCUUGAAAUACCACCCUUUAAUGUUUGAUGUUCUAACGUUGACCCGUAAUCCGGGUUGCGGACAGUGUCUGGUGGGUAGUUUGACUGGGGCGGUCUCCUCCUAAAGAGUAACGGAGGAGCACGAAGGUUGGCUAAUCCUGGUCGGACAUCAGGAGGUUAGUGCAAUGGCAUAAGCCAGCUUGACUGCGAGCGUGACGGCGCGAGCAGGUGCGAAAGCAGGUCAUAGUGAUCCGGUGGUUCUGAAUGGAAGGGCCAUCGCUCAACGGAUAAAAGGUACUCCGGGGAUAACAGGCUGAUACCGCCCAAGAGUUCAUAUCGACGGCGGUGUUUGGCACCUCGAUGUCGGCUCAUCACAUCCUGGGGCUGAAGUAGGUCCCAAGGGUAUGGCUGUUCGCCAUUUAAAGUGGUACGCGAGCUGGGUUUAGAACGUCGUGAGACAGUUCGGUCCCUAUCUGCCGUGGGCGCUGGAGAACUGAGGGGGGCUGCUCCUAGUACGAGAGGACCGGAGUGGACGCAUCACUGGUGUUCGGGUUGUCAUGCCAAUGGCACUGCCCGGUAGCUAAAUGCGGAAGAGAUAAGUGCUGAAAGCAUCUAAGCACGAAACUUGCCCCGAGAUGAGUUCUCCCUGACNGUGGACGCAUCACUGGUGUUCGGGUUGUCAUGCCAAUGGCACUGCCCGGUAGCUAAAUGCGGAAGAGAUAAGUGCUGAAAGCAUCUAAGCACGAAACUUGCCCCG